CACCUCUAGCAUUACCAGUAUUAGAGGCACCGCCUGCCCAGUGACAUUAGUUAAACGGCCGCGGUAUCCUGACCGUGCAAAGGUAGCAUAAUCAUUUGUUCCUUAAUUAGGGACUUGUAUGAAUGGCCCCACGAGGGUUUGACUGUCUCUUACUUUUAAUCAGUGAAAUUGACCUCCCCGUGAAGAGGCGGGGAUAUGAAAAUAAGACGAGAAGACCCUAUGGAGCUUAAAUUAAUAUGUUCAACAGAAUUUACAUCACACCCAACAGGGAUAAUUAUAAUUUAACUGAGCAUAAAAUUUUGGUUGGGGUGACCUCGGAGAAUAAACGAGCCUCCGAGCAAUUUAACCGAGACUAACCCGUCAAAGUCACAUUACUUAUUGAUCCAAUCCUAUUGAUCAACGAAACAAGUUACCCUAGGGAUAACAGCGCAAUCCUAUUUGAGAGUUCAUAUCGACAAUAGGGUUUACGACCUCGAUGUUGGAUCAGGACACCCCAAUGGUGCAGCAGCUAUUAAAGGUUCGUUUGUUCAACG
rnacentral:rRNA from 1 species